UACGGAGUGGCAGACGGGUGAGUAACACGUGGGAACGUGCCCAAAGGUACGGAACAACUCCGGGAAACUGGAGCUAAUACCGUAUGUGCCCGAGAGGGGAAAGAUUUAUCGCCUUUGGAUCGGCCCGCGUCUGAUUAGCUAGUUGGCGGGGUAAUGGCCCACCAAGGCGACGAUCAGUAGCUGGUCUGAGAGGAUGACCAGCCACACUGGGACUGAGACACGGCCCAG
rnacentral:rRNA from 1 species